AGUGAUUGGUCAGACCAUAGAUAAUAUAGAAGACAGCGCGCUAGCGUAUCGAGUAUUCUAUGUAUCUAUGGUCGGCGUGUCUGGUAGCAUCUCUGGCUGCUGUUGAUCUUGUUUUCGGAGUAAAACACGAUGUUCAGAGGGAGAUGAUGCCACAUCUGGUCCAGCUGAUGGAAGGUCUUGAAGUUCACUGACUGACCUCGACUGAAGAUGGUCGUCUCACUGGAUUUAAGGUUCAGAUGCUCAGUAACAAACUCCACCAAUGAGCCAACAGGGAAGCUUUAGGUUUAUUAAAUGUUGCUAUGAAGAUGCACAAUGAGGGACGUCUGCAGAGACUGAGAAAGAGUCUCACCACAUCCUGACAUGAGGAAAAAGACUUUAUUGAAGACUACAAUGAGAAAAACUAUCAGACAGCAGAUGGCAUGCAUUCAAGCUGAGCUCUGAGCAUUUGAUCUGGAACAGGAAUUCAAUAACGGCAGCAUGAGCUUCAUUUCAGUCUGUAGCUGCUGAAUUCAUGGAUGAAUCAUCUGGCACUAGAGAGGAAGACCAUCAAACAUCCACGUCAGCUGAUGGAGGUCCAAGAGUCUCACCGAACAAACAACCUACAGAGUGAAGACCUCUAACCUGAUUGGAUGGCCUCCUAUUCAGCUACAUUUUAGGCUGUUAGAUUGUUCCAGAUAAGACAAGUACAAGAUUCUUCAGAGCCGUUCUACCACGAGCCUGACAGGAAGAACUCCAACAGCUACUGAAUGGUCCUGUGGUCCCCUCAAGGCUACAGGAGGAGCCCUAUGAGGACGAGCCGGUCCACCUGAUGGCGGCCAGUCGCUGCGGUUCAAAGCCAACACCGACUACGUGGACUUCUACUGGACCACACGGAGGCCUUCAAACCGGACCAACAAGUUCAGCGACUCCCCGACUCGUGGGUCUGAGGAC
ensembl:lncRNA